CCCCCCGCCCCAGCCGUGCGCGCUCACCGUCGGAGCUGACGGUGUCGUAGGAGUCACCAGGGGCGGGCACCGCGGCCGGCUCCCGGUAGUCCACCCAGCUGAGCCCUUCUACGCUGUCGUACUCGGCGCGGGGCUUGUCCUCCACCGGUACCACAGUGAAGUGCGGCAUGGCUGGCGGGGCGAUCACACAGGAGUCUAUGGAAGGAUACAAAGCUUAAUGUGGAGGAAGAGUCUAGGAGUAGACAUUUCCUGUGCUCAGAACCACCUUAUUCCCAGCUUUCUGAAUUUGUCCUGCCUUUUUGACAAAGCAACCCCCAGGUCACUGGGAGAAAGAAAAAUUUGUAAUGAGCAGAAAAGAAACAAACAUGAGGGAAAAUGCUUUGUUCAUGAAAACUGAGUAAUAAGUCUACUUUUAAUUAGAGUUGGAGAAAGAAGUGCUUUAUGAAAACAUAUAGACCAGGUGCUGACAAUGGGCUUCAGAGGAAAAUACCUGAUAUAGAGAGGAAAGAAUCAUCCUAAUGGAGUUUACAAAACCAUUUGGGGAGAAGCAACAGAAACAGAGCAAAAUUAAGUGCCCUCUCACCUGAGUUAUAAUUGUUGAGGCCAGAGCCUUGAUUAGAACCUGCAACAUUUCUCUGAUGUAAGCUAAAUGUAGAUCUUUGUUUACUUUGCUUUUGCUUCCCCUCCACUAUUUGUUGACCCAUGAGAGAAGCAACUGACCAAGUAAAAGAGGGGUUGGUUGUUGCUUUUGCUCUGAAAAAAAAAAACAACUUCACAGGUUGUAGGAAUUUCUCAAAAAGUGCAAAAAAAAAGUGCAGACGCUGUGGAAAGAAUUGACACCAUUGCAAUGAGUGCCAGGAAGCAGAACAGGCUACAAGCAGCUCAUCUGGUAAUACUGGACUAAGCGACUGAGAGGUUCUGUCUCAGUCACCGAAGAUCCUGGACAUUUGUGAAGUACAGAAAUGGAACAAAAAUGCUUCCUAUUACCACAAAUUUUGGUUUUCCUCUAUUUCCUUCCCAUUUCCUAAUGAAGUUAUAAAUAAACAUGAAGGUUAGGAAAAAUCUCUGGUUUCAGAACAUAAAAAAAGUAAAAUUAUAGGAGAACCAAAACAACCAUUCCCAUCUCAAGUUCUUCUACAUAGGUGUAAAGUU